AGCAGCCGCGGUAAUUCCAGCUCCAAUAGCGUAUAUUAAAGUUGUUGCAGUUAAAAAGCUCGUAGUUGAAUUUCGGGGUUAGUAGGUUGGUCAUGCCUCUGGUAUGUACUGGUCUCACUGAUUCCUCCUUCCUUAUGAACCGUAAUGCCAUUAAUUUGGUGUUGCGGGAAAUUUGGACUGUUACUUUGAAAAAUUAGAGUGUUUAAAGCAAGCUAACGCUUGAAUACAUUAGCAUGGAAUAAUGAAAUAGGACGUUCGAUCUUAUUUUGUUGGUUUCUAGGAUUGACGUAAUGAUUAAUAGGGAUAGUUGGGGGCAUUAGUAUUCAAUUGUCAGAGGUGAAAUUCUUGGAUUUAUUGAAGACUAACUACUGCGAAAGCAUUUGCCAAGGAUGUUUUCAUUAAUCAAGAACGAAAGUUAGGGGAUCGAAGACGAUCAGAUACCGUCGUAGUCUUAACCAUAAACUAUGCCGACUAGGGA
rnacentral:rRNA from 1 species